GCCAUAUCACAUGACAAGCAUACCCUGCAAAAACAAGUUAGACGUCCUCUAAUUUUGUUGUUGCAUGUUUUACGUGGUGACCAUGGGUAUUUAGUAGGAUCGCAUCUUACUUACGCAAACACCACAACGGAGAUAUAUGAGUUGCUAUUUAACCUCAUCCAAGGACCUCCUCGGUCAAAUCCGAUUCAACUAAAGUUGGAGAAACUGACACCCGCCAGUCA
rnacentral:lncRNA from 1 species